GAUGAACGCUGGCGGCGUGCCUAACACAUGCAAGUCGAACGGUAGCAGGUCUAGUUUACUAGAUGCUGACGAGUGGCGGACGGCUGAGUAAUGCAUCGGAACGUACCUUUCAGUGGGAGAUAACGUAGCGAAAGUUACGCUAAUACCGCAUAUUCUGUGAGCAGGAAAGCAGGGGAUCGCAAGACCUUGCGCUGAUUGAGCGGCCGAUGUCAGAUUAGCUAGUUGGUGAGGUAAAGGCUCACCAAGGCGACGAUCUGUAGCGGGUCUGAGAGGAUGAUCCGCCACACUGGAACUGAGACACGGUCCAGACUCCUACGGGAGGCAGCAGUGGGGAAUUUUGGACAAUGGGGGCAACCCUGAUCCAGCCAUGCCGCGUGAGUGAAGAAGGCCUUCGGGUUGUAAAGCUCUUUCGGCCGGGAAGAAAUCGCACGGGCUAAUACCCUGUGUGGAUGACGGUACCGGAAUAAGAAGCACCGGCUAACUACGUGCCAGCCGCCGCAGUAAAAC
rnacentral:rRNA from 1 species